GAAUAAGUUAAAGAAAUAUUUUUUAAAUCAAGUUCUAUUAAUAGAGCUAUUGUGUUUACUAGGUGACCAGUGUUUUCUUGGCAACUGUAAUGGUUAGCUUCAAUUGCCAACUAGAAGCAAUCUAGACUUACUGUGAAGAGUCUCAAUGUGUGACUGUCAAAUCAGAUUGACCCAUGGGCUUGUCUGUUGGGGAUGCUCUUGACCACACUAAUUGAAGUGGGAAGACCCCCUUGGGUGGCAUCAUUUGCUGGGUAGAGAAUCCUAAUUGUAUAAUGCAUGCAUGUACUAAUCCACCACUCUGCUCUUGACAGUAGAUAUACUGUGGGCAGUUCUCCCAUGUUCCUGCUCCUGUGCCUUCCUUUCUCCAAUGGACUAAAACCUGCAAUUGUGAGCUAAAAUAAACCCUUUCUAUUCCGAAGUUACUGUUCAGGGCACUUUAUUACAGAAACAGGAAUGAAAACUGUCAGAUACUCCUUUCAAGUUAUAUGGUUUUGAUCGAGAUAUAUGGUGCUAAACAUUAAUCUUUUCAAUUAAUAGAAUGUGUAGUCUAAGUGUACAAAACAAUGUACCCUGUGAAAAAUGAAGCAACACUUUUAAGAAGACACACACACACACACACACACACACACACACACACACACACUACUAUAUAUAGGAAGUAGCCUAAGAGUAUGAACCGGAGCUAUUGAGGUAGGUCAGUGGGUAAAGGAAUUUAAAAUUGAGGCUGAUUGAUUAUCAGAGUUCAAUCUCUUGGACCUUCAUGGGUGAAAGAAGAGAAAGUUGCAUCUGACAUCUAUCUACAUACCUAUCUAUCUAUCUAUCUAUCUAUCUAUCUAUCUAUCUAUCUAAGCACAUGUUAACAAUCUUUAUUCAAAAAUAUGAACUGUCUUAGGGUUUUACUGUGAAGGUUGAACAGAUAUUUGCUUAAGUGAAAUGAGGAAAAUUUCAGAGUUCAGUGUGGACAUUGUCCCUGUGGUUUGGUCAUCUCCCUAUGCCUCAGCAUAGUGUUGAAGCAUGUAAUAGCCAGGUUUUUUUAAAUGGUAUACAGCUGGGCUUAUGAAAAUUCAUUAAAAACAUUUUCAUGCUACACACUAAGCAAUAUUGAAAAUCUUCUGUUUGUGAUCUUGUUAAUCAGGGCUGUUUUGAAACUUAAAGAAAAAAAAAACCAGAAGGAGAAGGUGUGAAAAGAGAUCCCUCUUUGCUAAGGAAGGUGUUUGCCCACAACCUUCUUUGAUAUCAAGGGGACAGGAUGAGUAAGCACAUUCAUCAACGAAGGGCACUGAAUAGCAGGGCAAACUUCCCAGGUGUCUGCUGUUGCCUCUUCCCUGCAGCCAAGGCUCUUUUCAAGCACCUACAAUCACUACUCAAGGCACUUCUGCUACCUGUAUCAACUUUAGUAAAACUCACACAACAUACAACUCAUAAAAAAAAAAAGUAAUUUCCUAAGAUCUAUCAAAAAUCCUUUGGCAACCUAACUGUUUGGUGUUAUGGAAAUUCCCUGUGUCAGAAAGCCUCCAGGUAUGCUUAAAAAGUACAACAGUUCUGGGAGAAGAGAAAGCCGGGGACUUACUUGAGGAGCAAAGAGCUCUGGAGACAAGCUGUUCCAGCCCCCAUAAAACAAACAGGGAACAGCCACCAAUCAGCCCUCCCACACUGUCGCUUGAGAGCUGCUGAGAGCUUUCUUCUGUUUUCCAAGAUGUUAAAGUGUAGCUAAACCAAUCUGCCCUUCUCUCCUAUACUGUCUCUUAGGGACGAGAAGCAAGGAAAUGUUCAAAAAGAAACAUCUUGUUUACUUGUUACACAUAUAGAUUUCAUGUUAGAUACUACUUUAAGCCCCAGCGGUUGCCCUCUAAAAUCGGAGGUAAACAGACAUUUUAAAGAGUUCUGUAUCCACUUGUAUCCCCUGUCUAACUCUAGGGAGCUAGGGACUGUGAAGUCCUCCAGCUUCUUGUUCAGGCCAGCUGACCACCACCAAGAUUCAGAAUGGCUGUUCUCAAUUCUCAGAUCUGGGCCCUCCACAUUUCUACGGAGAAAGAAAGGAACUUUCUGUCAAGCCUGAAAGUCAGCCUGCUAAGCUGCUUUCGCUCCUUGGUGUCCUUGAAGACACACCGGAAGAGGGCAUCGGACCCCAUAGGCACAAUACACCAAGCUUCAACUUAAUUCUUGCUAACAGUUACCAGAGCAGAUGAUAAAACUAGAGAUCUAGAUCAACCAUACAAUGUGUUCCUGACCUGAGUAAUGCCCUGGACCAGUGGCUCACUGCCGUGCAACCCGGAGUAGCUCACUGCAGCGAGAACAUCAAUUCUCCAGCUUUCCUGUUGUCUAGUCCUUGCUUGUUUUCAGGUAGAGAAAAAUCUUAGAAAACAUAAGAAGGUAAAAUGGCUAACAUGAAGUCACAGCACAUUUCCUGGGACACAUUCCUGGAAGCCAAUCUUUAAAGCUGCUGUCAGAUCUAUGGAGGGCCCAAGUGCCCAUGCAGACAGCUCCUGCUUCUUCACUGAACAGCCAAUAUCCUGACUGGUUUUGUCAUCUGCUUGUGUACCAUCUGAGCAGAGAAAACCUCAACUGAGAAACUGACUCCAACAAAAUAGUCUGUGCACAUGUCUGAGGGGCAAUUGUCUUGAUUGAUGAUUGAUAUGGGAGGGACAAGCCCAUUCUGGGUGGCUUCAUCCCUACGCAGGUAGGCCUGGACUAUAUAGAAAGCUAGCAGAGACCAAGAGAGGAGGCAAGACAAUAAGCCAUAUUUCUUCAUGGUUCUUGCCUCUGUUCCUGCUUUAAUCCCUAGCUGACUUUUCUCAAAGAUAGACUAUAACUUGGACAAGUGAUAAAAAGACACUCUUUCCUCCCAAAUUGCUUUUGGUUUUUAUUACAGCAACAGGAAAACAAAUUUAAAAAGCUACCAAACAUUUAGACACUUUACCUGGAAAUGUAUUUAUUAUAUAAGGAUUUUAGCCCAGAAAC